rnacentral:rRNA from 1 species
UGGGGAAUAUUGCACAAUGGGCGAAAGCCUGAUGCAGCAACGCCGCGUGAGGGACGACGGCCUUCGGGUUGUAAACCUCUUUAGCAAGGAAGAAGCGAAAGUGACGGUACUUGCAGAAAAAGCGCCGGCUAACUACGUGCCAGCAGCCGCGGUAAUACGUAGGGCGCAAGCGUUAUCCGGAAUUAUUGGGCGUAAAGAGCUCGUAGGCGGUUUGUCGCGUCUGCUGUGAAAACCCGAGGCUCAACCUCGGGCCUGCAGUGGGUACGGGCAGACUAGAGUGCGGUAGGGGAGAUUGGAACUCCUGGUGUAGCGGUGGAAUGCGCAGAUAUCAGGAAGAACACCGAUGGCGAAGGCAGAUCUCUGGGCCGUAACUGACGCUGAGGAGCGAAAGGGUGGGGAGCAAAACAGGCUUAGAUACCCUGGUAGUCCACCCCGUAAACGUUGGGAACUAGUUGUGGGGUCCAUUCCACGGAUUCCGUGACGCAGCUAACGCAUUAAGUUCCCCGCCUGGGGAGUACGGCCGCAAGGCU